rnacentral:lncRNA from 1 species
UCACAGUUUCGAAAAAGCAAAACGAGAGGAAUUAAGAAAGAGACAAAGUUUCAGUUUUCAAUAUUUUUUAUCAUAGAAAACUGAACGGAUCACUGGUUUGAUAGAAACGUGUAGGCUGCAAGAGAAAUAGCGAACAAAUAAAAUGUGGUCGUCGUGUGAACUUUUUGGGUGUCGUGAGCCAGUGACUCCCGGCCAUGCUCUCCACUCCAUGCUAUUUCUCAAUUGAAUAAUACUAAGAAUACGAUUGGAAUGAUUUUGGGAGCUUGUACAAAAGAGUUGAACCGGAUUCAAAUAUGUGAAAUGUUGGUGCCGACUACAGUGAAUAGCAUUUAUCAUAUUUCAGGUCCACUUUUGCCAGCCGUUGAAAACAAAGAUGUGCAAGUUUUUAUGCUGACCGUCAUCACCAGCCAUCUCAGCAUCAUCAAUUGGAUUUAAACAAUAUCCAGUUUGAUUGGGAAAAUUUCUGUCCUCGUGUAUGCCCAUGUGAGUGUGGGUGUAUUCACGAGGACGCCCUUUUUCCGUCAUUCAACUUUUCUGCGGAUGGAUGAUGCACUUGUGGAUGCCUGGCUGACUGGCUGUGGAUUUCCCGGGCUUAAAGCAACUAUAUGCUUAUCGAUCCGGGCGAUCAUCCGUUCGCAGCCGUGAGAACUGUGAGAAAAAACAAACGCCGGCACCUGCACACCACUCUCCUCGUCACUCACAUGGAAAAAUACGAUUCACAUGUGUUUGGAUGGAAUCGUGUAACAUUUUCAUUCUCCGUGUAUUGGGCAACUUUUUGAGGUUUUUUUUCUUCCCCCGGUUCAACUGUUUUUUUGUUUUUUUUUUUACAAUUUUCUCGUUCGCCUUCAUUCCAGACAUAUCUAAUAACGUAAUAAAAAUAUUUUCAUUACAAUGAUGGCGAAUGGAAUAAAUGGCAACUGGUAUUAAAUUUUCAUUUUCGAGGAUGAUGAUUUGAAAGUUUUGGCACAUGAUCGCAGCAAACUCGUCUGCGUACCUCUCGUAUCGCAUUCCUCCCUGGAAACUCUUUUUUUUCAUUCUUCGGCUUGAUCUUCCACUCUGUUAACAUGUAUAACUUUUAAAGAGGGGGCGAGCUAUAGGGCGGAGAUAUACAACGGGGUAUACAACAUUCGAAAUAAUUGAUGCAUAUUAGGCUAAAGCACUAUAUAGCAUGCAGUCAGUGUCUCGCCAAAACAAAAAAAAAAGAGAAUAGAAUUAGGAUUUUUCUUUUUUUCCCCCAAAAAGUUGAAGGGGGAAGAAAAAGGGAGUCACGUGACCUGGACGGAUGCAUUUCCGAGUGAAGUUGCCACCCCCUGCUGUGCUCUUCUUCUUCUUCUUCUACUUUUCUACAAGGAGAAAACUGCCGGUAACUCAACACCAGACUCCAUUGACAACACAAAUCACGAUUCCGACGAGAUUUAUUUAUACAUCCAGUCUCUCUCUCUCUCUGGCUCAUGAUUGCUUCCAUAAUGCGCUUUCGCGUACCCGUUGCUCCUUUCUCCCCCCAACAAAGUUUUCACUCUCGUUUCUGCCCUUUUAAAUCUUUCUGGCCUAUAAUGGAAAUUUCGCUUUGCGAUGAAUUAUUAAAAGGAAGAAAGAAAAAAACAUUUACAUUUUAGCCUACGUCUUUUUUUUUUGGUGAAAUGUCAUUUGUCUUAAAAGGUUUUUCAUUCUGGGAGUUAUGCAAAGUGUCAUCUCCCUGACUGCUCUGGUUCUAUCUCGAGUCUUGACCUUUUCAUGAAUCACUGAUUUGAAUACAAAAGAAGAAGACGAAGAAGAAGAGAAGCAAGAAAUCGAUGAAAUCAUAAAAGGAGCGGUCCAGUGUCCUUCCUCUGUACACUGCGCAGUGCAUGGAAUAAAAUGUCUGGAGGAUAGAAGAAGAAGGAGAAGAAAAAAGAACAGAACAUCGGUCAGUAUACAUGUACCGGUUUCACUUCUUUGUCGUCAUGACUUUCUUUUUUCUUUUUCUUUUGGGAAAUUUUGUCUUUCGGUUCGGCGAGCUUCUUUUUUUUUUUUUCGUCUGGCCAGAGUCCCGAAUAAUCUUGUCAAAAAAUGAGAAGAAAAAGUGAAAGAAAAAAGUAAAGAGGACGGAGAGGGGAAAAAAAUGGGAAAACAACAAAUCUAAUACGACUAGAUAUCUCAUUCGAAAGCGGAGAGUGAGUGAGUGGAGAGAAGAUCCGGAUCCAUUAAUCACCGAUGGAACUAGCCGUGAUUCCCUGGGAAACUUGACUCACCUAUUCUUCUUCUUCUUCUAUUCCUUCCAGGUUUUUUUUUUUUACCUUUUUUUUUAAUUUUUCUACUCUCUCGAAAUCUAUACAGAUACCAGUAUAUAUACCGUCUACACACGUAUAAUACAAAUGUAAGGCUUCUCCGUGCUGGUGCCGUGCUCCAUUGAUUUCCUUGUAAAUAAAUAGAAGAAGAAUUCUGUAAGCCGCAUUCCACAGCAGCAGCAGCAGCAGCUCUUUUCUUCUUCUUCUUCUUCUUCUCCUCUUGUAUGAUUCUCAGUUAUAGCUCAGAGAAUCGGGGCCCAGGACUUGUAUCUCGCAUUUCUAUUUGAAAAACGCGCAUAACUUGCGCAUAAUAGCAGACGCGGAAUCAAAGUGUUGCCGAGCUUGUGAAAAGAGACGCUGGUUGAAUCGAGCAAAUUAUGCCGAAUCAUCAGACGAAUCGUUGGCCGUCAUCAGUUAUAUACAUCAAAAUCAUCAUCAUAAUAAUUCAAUUCAUGGAGAUAAAAAAAAAAAAAAGUAAAGUCCCUUUUUCUAUCCAGCCAGGCCCAUCCACUCCCCCCUUGAAGGAAUAUUUACUAUUUUUCGAUAAAAGCGGGGAGUUUGAUAUAGGGAGAGAGUCUGAAUGAUGAUAUAGAGGGGGGUAAGUUGUGCUUUUGAAUUGAGUCAAGUGAACAUUUUAUACGGGCUGUUAUUAAAGAGAUUGGGUGAGCGUUACCUGACUCCUCUAUACACUGUAUAAUAUGUUGUAUAUAUCACAGACUCUAACACUGAGCUGUGGGGAAAAGAGUUAUAUGUACUAGGAGAUAUAGACUGUGAGAGAAGGGGGUGAAAAUGAUACCCUUGGCAUCUCUUUUUUCCCUCCCGUCUAUUAUAUUCGCUCGCCCUUUUCUUUCCUGAUUCUAUUUGAUCUUUCGCGUAUCUACGAUCGAGUUGUAUAUAGUAGUAUAGUACCACAAUUAGCCGAUAUGAUUGUUGGAACCGCGGCAGCUCUAUACAUGGUCUUUAUAUAUAAUCCACCCUUUUAUUUCUUUUGGCGUUGUUCUCGCUCUCCAUUUCUUUCCCACCGUGAUUGCAUCGCCAAAUUUGCCGUCACGGAUCAGAAACCAUUGGAAAGGAAAUGACGGGGAACGCAGCAGAGUGAGUAGACGGUAGAUAUUAUGUAUUAGGAAAUAUGGAAAUAUAUGACGGGCAGACUCUAUGACCUCCAGACGAAUCACGCCAUUCAUUCCGAUUUGAUGUUAU